CCUACGGGAGGCAGCAGUGGGGGAUAUUGCACAAUGGGGGAAACCCUGAUGCAGCGACGCCGCGUGAGUGAAGAAGUAUUUCGGUAUGUAAAGCUCUAUCAGCAGGGAAGAAAAUGAAAGUACCUGACCAAGAAGCCCCGGCUAACUACGUGCCAGCAGCCGUGGUAAUACGUAGGGGGCAAGCGUUAUCCGGAUUUACUGGGUGUAAAGGGAGCGUAGACGGUUAUGUAAGUCUGGAGUGAAAGCCCGGGGCCCAACCCCGGGACUGCUUUGGAAACUGUGUAACUGGAGUGCAGGAGGGGCAGGCGGAAUUCCUGGUGUAGCGGUGAAAUGCGUAGAUAUCAGGAGGAACACCGGCGGCGAAGGCGGCCUGCUGGGCUGAAACUGACGUUGAGGCUCGAAAGCGUGGGGAGCAAACAGGAUUAGAUACCCUAGUAGUC
rnacentral:rRNA from 1 species